AUUGAACGCUGGCGGCAUGCUUUACACAUGCAAGUCGAACGGCAGCACGGGGGCAACCCUGGUGGCGAGUGGCGAACGGGUGAGUAAUGCAUCCGAACGUGCCCUGUCGUGGGGGAUAACACAUCGAAAGAUGUGCUAAUACCGCAUACGACCUGAGGGUGAAAGCGGGGGACCGUAAGGCCUCGCGCGAUAGGAGCGGCCGAUGUCUGAUUAGCUAGUUGGUGGGGUAAGGGACUACCAAGGCGACGAUCAGUAGCUGGUCUGAGAGGACGAACAGCCACACGGGGACUGAGACACGGCCCAGACUCCUACGGGAGUCAGCAGUGGGGAAUUUUGGUCAAUGGGGGCAACCCUGAUCCAGCCAUGCCGCGUGCGGGAAGAAGGCCUUCGGGUUGUAAACCGCUUUUGGCAGGAACGAAACGGUGCGGGCGAAUACCCUGUGCUAAUGACGGUACCUGCAGAAUAAGCACCGGCUAACUACGUGCCAGCCGCCGCCGUAAUAC
rnacentral:rRNA from 1 species